CGCCCCUGCACGAGGACCGGAAGUGUUUCUGCGUCAUGCAGCUUGGCCGGAAGUGUUGGCAGUUCGGCAUUUGGGGGACCUGCUCCAGACGGAUAAGAAAGGUUGAACAGUCUGCCUCCCAUACUGAAAGUUUCAAGCUUUUGGACAGAACUGAACAGUGUGAACAAGUCUGGUGAUGAAGCUUGGACUAAAUUCUUAAAGUAUCUUAGUUUCACAGUCCCUCGUCCCAUAUAACUUAUAUAUGAAGCACCAAAACUGGAGCCAAGGUCUGAACAGGUUAUAUAACAGCAAGAACUAUAAUUUAAUCACAUCAUAUCAGAUUACACUAUGUAACAUUCUGUAUUUUGCCUGUUGAUAUGUAACAGUUUAUUACAAGCAUUAUUUCCUAAGA